GACGAACGCUGGCGGCGUGCUUAACACAUGCAAGUCGAACGGAAAGGCCUCUUUCGGGGGGUACUCGAGUGGCGAACGGGUGAGUAACACGUGAGUAACCUGCCCUUGACUUUGGGAUAACUUCAGGAAACUGGGGCUAAUACCGGAUAGGAGCUCCUGCUGCAUGGUGGGGGUUGGAAAGUUUCGGCGGUUGGGGAUGGACUCGCGGCUUAUCAGCUUGUUGGUGGGGUAGUGGCUUACCAAGGCUUUGACGGGUAGCCGGCCUGAGAGGGUGACCGGCACAAUGGGGAGGGUGGGAGGGCCCGGACAGAAAGGGGGGGCAGGGAGGGGCAUUGUGGGCGGCGGGGUGGGAGCCUGUGGCGGCAGGGCGGGGGGGGGGAUGAGUCCAUAGGGGUUGUACGCAGCUUGGACUCGUGGCGUAAGUGGGUGUGAGGGUAGUGGAAAAAUAGGGCCCGUAACAGUACGUCGAAGCAGCGGAGGUAAUAAGCGGAACAGCGCUCGCUACGUC
rnacentral:rRNA from 1 species